rnacentral:tRNA from 1 species
GGGGACCUAGCGUAGCCCGGUAUCGCAACAGGCUCCAGACCUGUAGGUCGGGGGUUCAAAUCCCUCGGUUCCCA